ACAAAAACAUUAGAUUGUGAUUCUAAAAUUAAAAGUUAAAAUCUUUUUAAUCACCAAGAGAGGUUUGGAA
rnacentral:tRNA from 1 species